rnacentral:tRNA from 1 species
GCCCGUCUGGCGAAAUUGGUAGACGCACCAGAUUUAGGUUCUGACGCCGCAAGGUGUGCCGGUUCGAGUCCGGCGGCGGGCACCA